CCCCACCAUUAACUCACAGACAUUUUACAUUUUCCUUAUUUAAAAGCGCUGUUAAAACUCCAAACCAGCUGCAGGAAUGACGAGUUCAAAUCAGGAGGAGAGAGGAAUACAUUACAAGGCUGCUGUGUGUCCUCCAGAUCUAGGUUACAUGUAAUUGCUCAGUAAUUGGUAGAACCAUGUAAAAGCCAUGGUAUCUGCCAGCAAACCCUCCUAA